rfam:Fimbriiglobus ruber strain SP5 contig02, whole genome shotgun sequence.
GGAAGGGCGAGCCAACUGGCGAUGGCACCUGUCUCGAAAACAGGCGAGCGAUGAGCCUUGAGGGUUCGACUCCCUCUCCUUCCG